GGCGGAACAACGACACGUGAAUAUUGUACACUUCAAUCUAUCCGUUUUCUUUCCUUUUUUGUUUUCUUUCCUUUUUUAACAGAUUCAGACAGGUAUCACCUUUUAUUUUUAAAACAAGCCAAGAGACGCAAACGUUGAAGACCAGUGCCAUCUCAAAUCCCCGGGUGUGAAUACUUCGUCUGUCACGACUGUCCCUGGGAAUCCACAGGAGGUGAACUGAAUAAGAUUAGACUAUUUACCCCAUCAACUCUCCAUCAAAGAAGGUGAAAGCAGCACCGCGGGACACGAGUGGGCAGCGGAGGAGCCGCGGCACUGGCGGAGCGCGCACCGCCCGGGCCGGCCGGGAGCUCGGCUGCCCGAAGAGAUUUUUGCUCCCCUGACGGAUGAUCCACCAUGCUACAACGCUUGCCUUUAUUCCUAAUUUAGAGAUUAUAUUUUCCAAAUAAUUUGUCCCCCCAGUGGGGAAGGUUUCUUUUUUUUUUGUUUUAUUUUGUUUUAGUCUGAGUAGUUUUGCCAUGAAACCCCAGGUUUGAUACCCGCUUCGCAAAACCUGCUCUCGGAGUUUCUCAUUUCCCAUGCGCUCUUCGCUAACCUGGCAAACGGAAAAUUGUGUUAAACAAACAAUCAGUUGUCACACAUUGUCGGGGUGAAAUUGUAAUAACAAAUGAAGCACAAGCAAAUUGUGCUGCAUAGUGUUGCUAAGCAAUUGUUUGUUACGGGAGGGUGGUCACAGCAUGGGUUGAAAGAGGGAUCUAAAGAGGAACAUAGCGCUGGGCAGAGCAAGCUGUUAGGUAUGAAAUACGAUAAACACGGCCCUGAUUUUCAAUAUUAUUACCCAAACACGAUUUCGUACAAAGCAAUCACCAUACACAAGUCUAUGAAAAUGCGCUUGUUGAGAAAUCGGAGGGGUUUUUUUAUUAUUAUUUUAAUAUAUUAAAGAAUAAUUCCGAGGAUGCAAAACGCACCCACAGCCUUCCCGGCGGACUCUUUGACCGGCCUGGCGGCCGGAGCGGCCCCGGGAGUGCCGGCCGGGGGGGCCCGGGGCCCGCAGCCCAGCCCGGCCGGCCGGGGCUGGCCGCGGGCAGGUCCCGGCUGCGGCUCCCGCCCCACGCGAGCGGGGAACCAGGGGUGAACCAGGGGUUCGGGGCAUCAGCGGCGGCGAAACGGCGCUUCGCGGCGCAUCUCUCACUUAUAAAUGCCAUCACCCUGCGGCGUUCCUCACGUUUGUUUCAAACUGAUUGCAUCAUUGCUUCACCAGGAAAAAAAAAAAAGUAUAAAAGUCAUACAAUGCGAAAUUACCGUAAUUUGUUCCCAGAAUAAACUUAUCUUGAACUGAUUAGGAGAGUCAGUCAUUUGA